CAGAUGCAAUCGGCAGUAAAAGAACUGCCUCUUUCUUCCUUACUUCCACCCUCCCUCACCUUCUCUGCAGCAGGCAAAGUUACCUGGCCCCAAAGAGAAAGGUGCUGUGUGAAGGAAUCUCCUUUUCCCUUGAGCGGUAUGCGAGCUGUGGUUUAGAAGCCUGGGCCUCCCAAGCUGGCUCUGUCUGUCCUCCAGGAAGACAAACACGUUGUCCUUGCUAACAUCUGGCCUUUCUCAAUGACUCACUAAAUUCCAUUAUGGAAAGAAAAAGAAGAGAAGGAAAUUGAGCUUUAAUGGGUGAAGGAGGGAUGUUAAAGGUGCCAGGACCCAGCGUCUGGAGAGCCAUUUCUAAAAGGGGUGUCAGAGGGCCUGGCUGACCAGAGAAUGUCGUGGGGAAAGACUCUGGGGAAAGACUUCUUCAGGGACACUGCUCCCAUGCCUGGGACCCAGGAUGCUCCCCCAGAAGAGAUGCAGCUGGCCAUGCGUGGGUCAUUUUCAUGAGGCCUAGGCAGCCACAGGGUAAUCCUGCCAGCUCCCUUCCUCAGCAGAAAUGUUUUGCUGGCUUUAUGCGGAGUCUCGUCCUCCUCUGGCCGCUCACCUUGUGAUCGACGGGUGACUCGCGCCUGAAUCACUCAGCCCGAGGCAACAUCUCCCAGCACCUGCAUGCUUUCGGAUCACAAGACUGACAACUCUAACUCUGUAUUUCAGAACAGGCUUGGUCACACAAGGACACUGUAAGCGGACACCCAUGUUCAUACCUGUUUUACGACAGCUGACGUCUAUUUGGCCCCGAAUGCCAGGCGCUGAGUGACGCUCUGACUUCCCAGCUGACCCAUGGUGGCCCCUGCGUUCCCGCCCCUCUGCCAGAUGACAGAACAGGAGCCGAAGGAGUCCCACGGACAGCCUGUUGAACUUGAACCAUCUUUGAUCAACAUAAAAAGAUGGAGAAGGGAACAUCAUCGGAGUUUAUCCCAGAAG